rnacentral:rRNA from 1 species
AGUGAACGCUGGCGGUAGGCCUAACACAUGCAAGUCGAACGGCAGCACAGUAAGAGCUUGCUCUUACGGGUGGCGAGUGGCGGACGGGUGAGGAAUACAUCGGAAUCUACUUUUUCGUGGGGGAUAACGUAGGGAAACUUACGCUAAUACCGCAUACGACCUACGGGUGAAAGCAGGGGAUCUUCGGACCUUGCGCGAUUGAAUGAGCCGAUGUCGGAUUAGCUAGUUGGCGGGGUAAAGGCCCACCAAGGCGACGAUCCGUAGCUGGUCUGAGAGGAUGAUCAGCCACACUGGAACUGAGACACGGUCCAGGCUCCUACGGGAGGCAGCAGUGGGGAAUAUUGGACAAUGGGCGCAAGCCUGAUCCAGCCAUACCGCGUGGGUGAAGAAGGCCUUCGGGUUGUAAAGCCCUUUUGUUGGGAAAGAAAAGCAGCAGGUUAAUACCCCGCUGUCCUGACGGUACCCAAAGAAUAAGCACCGGCUAACUUCGUG